rnacentral:rRNA from 1 species
GACGAACGCUGGCGGCGUGCCUAAUACAUGCAAGUAGAACGCUGAAGGAGGAGCUUGCUUCUCUGGAUGAGUUGCGAACGGGUGAGUAACGCGUAGGUAACCUGCCUGGUAGCGGGGGAUAACUAUUGGAAACGAUAGCUAAUACCGCAUAAGAGUAGAUGUUGCAUGACAUUUGCUUAAAAGGUGCAAUUGCAUCACUACCAGAUGGACCUGCGUUGUAUUAGCUAGUUGGUGGGGUAACGGCUCACCAAGGCGACGAUACAUAGCCGACCUGAGAGGGUGAUCGGCCACACUGGGACUAGACACGGCCCAGACUCCUACGGGAGGCAGCAGUAGGGAAUCUUCGGCAAUGGACGGAAGUCUGACCGAGCAACGCCGCGUGAGUGAAGAAGGUUUUCGGAUCGUAAAGCUCUGUUGUAAGAGAAGAACGAGUGUGAGAGUGGAAAGUUCACACUGUGACGGUAGCUUACCAGAAAGGGACGGCUAACUACGUG